GACGAACGCUGGCGGCGUGCUUAACACAUGCAAGUCGAACGGAAAGGCCCUGCUUUUGUGGGGUGCUCGAGUGGCGAACGGGUGAGUAACACGUGAGUAACCUGCCCUUGACUUUGGGAUAACUUCAGGAAACUGGGGCUAAUCCCGGAUCGGAGCUCCUGCUGCAUGGUGGGGGUUGGAAAGUUUCGGCGGUUGGGGAUGGACUCGCGGCUUAUCAGCUUGUUGGUGGGGUAGUGGCUUACCAAGGCUUUGACGGGUAGCCGGCCUGAGAGGGUGACCGGCCACAUUGGGACUGAGAGACGGCCCAGACUCCUACGGGAGGCAGCAGUGGGGAAUAUUGCACAAUGGGCGGAAGCCUGAUGCAGCAACGCCGCGGGCGGGAUGACGGCCUUCGGGUUGUAAACCGCUUUCGCCUGUGACGAAGCGUGAGUGACGGUAAUGGGUAAAGAAGCACCGGCUAACUACGUG
rnacentral:rRNA from 1 species